GUGCCAGCCGCCGCGGUAAUACGUAGGGGGCGAGCGUUGUCCGAAUUUACUGGGCGUAAAGCGCGCGUAGGCGGGUUAUUAAGUUGGUGGUGAAAUCCCGGGGCUCAACCCCGGAACUGCCUCCAAAACUGGUAGCCUUGAGGUAUGGAGAGGGAAGUGGAAUUCCAGGUGUAGCGGUGAAAUGCGUAGAUAUCUGGAGGAACACCCGUGGCGAAGGCGGCUUCCUGGCCAUAUCCUGACGCUGAGGUGCGAAAGCUAGGGGAGCGAACGGGAUUAGAAACCCCUGUAGUCC
rnacentral:rRNA from 1 species